UGGGGAAUCUUAGACAAUGGGGGAAACCCUGAUCUAGCCAUGCCGCGUGAGUGACGAAGGCCUUAGGGUCGUAAAGCUCUUUCGCCAGGGAUGAUAAUGACAGUACCUGGUAAAGAAACCCCGGCUAACUCCGUGCCAGCAGCCGCGGUAAUACGGAGGGGGUUAGCGUUGUUCGGAAUUACUGGGCGUAAAGCGCGCGUAGGCGGACUAUUAAGUCAGGGGUGAAAUCCCGGGGCUCAACCCCGGAACUGCCUUUGAUACUGGUAGUCUUGAGUUCGAGAGAGGUGAGUGGAAUUCCGAGUGUAGAGGUGAAAUUCGUAGAUAUUCGGAGGAACACCAGUGGCGAAGGCGGCUCACUGGCUCGAUACUGACGCUGAGGUGCGAAAGCGUGGGGAGCAAACA
rnacentral:rRNA from 1 species